rnacentral:rRNA from 1 species
CAGUAGCCGCGGUAAUACGUAGGGUGCGAGCGUUAAUCGGAAUUACUGGGCGUAAAGCGUGCGCAGGCGGUUGUGUAAGACAGGUGUGAAAUCCCCGGGCUCAACCUGGGAACUGCGCUUGUGACUGCACAGCUAGAGUAUGGCAGAGGGGGGUGGAAUUCCACGUGUAGCAGUGAAAUGCGUAGAGAUGUGGAGGAACACCGAUGGCGAAGGCAGCCCCCUGGGCCAAUACUGACGCUCAUGCACGAAAGCGUGGGGAGCGAACAGGAUUAGAUACCCCUGUAGUCCCUGUCUCUUAUAC